UGUGGGUGAACCCAGCCAAAAACCUGUGGUUAUCCCCAGUUAUCUCUGCUGAAGGAGUAAUCUUCGUGGAGGCUCAGUGGCCUUGAAGUCUGCCAUGUGCAAAAGGCAAAGUGUGGUUUAAAGCCCUGUCGAUGGAACCGAUGGAGCCUUGGGAAUCAUAAAUCCACUCUGCAUGUGAAAUCAUUGCAUUGUAAUCCCUUUUUUAAAGAAGUAACAUUAAUCACUCUUUAUAGCUACUUGUCACGAAUGAUUUAUAAAUGUAAUGGCUGCUGGGAAAAGAACACCGUAAAUUUCAGGAGGAAAGAGGAGAGGGUGGUAAAGUUACAUGGAGAAAAGAUGCAAAUUAGGAAAACUACUGUUACUCAAAACAAUUCCUUUGUCCCAUGAAAGAUGUGAGAGUUUUACCUACUCCUUAGUAUAUUUAUUUCCCUAAGCACAUGGCAUUUUUGAGGGUUGGAAAAUAUGAGUGUGGAUUGGGAAGGAAGCUAUAGAGUCUCCUGCAGCAGUCAAAACCAAAGGUAAUUGUUAGCUUUGAACAUGAGCUCAUCUGGAGUCCGUGCUUCAUACCAGUUCUCAGAAGCCAAGAGCAGCUGCAAAUAGACAGAAAAGGGUGCAGUGCUGAAGCCAGUGCCCUAGCUACAUGAGUAGUUCAAUCAUCAGCUUAAAGAGAGCUUCUCUUCUUCUUCCAUGUAGCUGCACUGCUCUUUGCAACCUUGUGACUUUCUCUUUGUGCUCAAUAACAGUUAAUUAUUUUGUUUAAUCCAAGUGGAGAUGUAGCGAAUCCUCACUACUGAAGAGUCAUAUGAUGCUUAGCAAAAUGCCAACAAUUUUGCUUCUGAAGAAAGGGGCUGUGAAAUACAGCAUUAUCAUUUCAAGCAAAUUGCCCCACUGCUUUCCUACUUUUGUCAUAUACGUAUGACCUCUGUUGACUUUGAAGCAGAGUAGAAAAGAGAAAUUCAUUUGCUCUUAUUUGAAUGUCAGUCAUGCCUACAGAGAGAAAAGAGUCAUUUGGGAAUAAAUCUGAAACAGUACCUAAAAAAUAUAAUAGCAGUAAUGGUGGAGAUGGUGGGAAAAGUUUCCUAGCUAGGAUUGCCCAGAGAAAAGAGGAUAAGAUCUGCUGAGUUACUUCUGGUGGGAUAGCUGCUGGACCAUCACACUUCCUUAAUGGGAGAGUCACCUUUUCUGCAGCGAAAUCGUAGGUUCUCUUAGUCUGUGAAGACAAGUUUCUGCUUCAAUCAGAUGGAAAGGACUUCAGCAGGGACCUCGCACAUGUAAGAAGCAUCCAGUGCAGCAAUCCUGGAGAUACAUCGGUCCUUGAUUCCCUUUGCCAAAUUGCAGCUGGUGCCACACCAUGACACAGGAAUAUCUCAUAUGUAUUGGCAGGAGGAGUGAGGAGCAUGACAUGGGAUGUUGAUUCGUGCCUUGAUUCAGAUCCUUGAUGUCUUCCUUCCUAAGUCUGACAUGGUAUUUACACGUGUGGGCAAAUGGAAACGACAGCCUCUCCAGAUAAGCAGCAGCUAACUGCUACCUUUCCUAAGUCAUUGCUGUUAACAGCCACAGAUAGAUUUAGAAGUAAUCCUAGCACUGACAUUCACUGGUUAACCAUCCAGGUAACACAAAUGCUCUAUUUUAUCCAUAGGUAUGUUAGUUUACACUGGAACUGUAUUGUUCAAAACUGUUGUUGCUUCAUUAGAUCAAAAAACUGUUUGGGCAAAUGUUUUCUAGAGUAGUAGCAUGAGCAUGGAUGGUCAGGAGACCAGAAAAUAGGGUGAGGAUGAAGGGACAUCUGUAUGUGCUCGCACACCAUUUUUUUUCUGUUUGCUCAACUCUAUUGAUAUGAUUUGACCACAAGUGAAUGGGACAAAGUUUUGGCUCCCCCCGUGUACAUUUUGCUCAGCUCCACUAGAAAAGCUUUUAAUGGCUCUUUGCUUCUAAUCAUUCUCAAGAAAUGAAUGAAUGGAAAAGUAUCUCACUAGAAUGAUUUACUGUUCAUUACAGAUAAUAAAUGAAUAGAGUUAUUCACUGGCAGUCACACAUCUCUGGCUAAUUCUUUGGAAGGUCACUCGUACCAGUCACCAAGCUCUCGUCACAUCUCCUGCAGCAGAGAGCAGCUUAUCAAGGAUAUGGAGUUGUUUAAAAAAGGGGGAUCAGGUCUAUCUAGUGGUCUCGGUUUGUUCUCCACUCUGAUUUCUCCACUUCAUGUUGCUGGGGACUUGGGAACAGAUAAAAAUGCAAGAUGCUACAUAUUUUAUCAAAAUCAUCUCUGCCCAAAAGAAAAGAGUUCUCUGUGUUAAUUGGUCUCUGGAGAAGUCAGGGCAGAACAGUUUGUUCUGGGAUGUCUUCUCAUGCCCAGAUAUUACAUUAACCAGGUUGCAGGUUGUCUGCAGCGGUUUCCUCUUGGUGCAACAUAUUAUUAGCAAUUUUAUUACAUGCUGCUUCAAGUUCUUCAAAAAAUCCCCUGAUUUGGGUUUUGUGUGGUAAUUUCCUUCCUCAGUUCCAGAGUCAGACAACACCAGAGGGGAAUAGCAGCAUGACCUCGCAGACAAGAAACGUCCAAGGAAAUUAGGCUAUUGUCGUGACGUGGAAGGUGUGCUUAAGCACUUCACUCUAAGGAACUCAGACUUUACCAGCUGUGCAUUGCCUGCCUAGCACAGCUACAACAGAGUCUGCUGAAGAUUAUUCCCUGUUCAAGGGGGUCCAAGCACCUUGGGAAUUACUAAAUGAUUAUAGAUCAUUUGUAAUGUACUAAAAAUACAUCAUGUGUUACAACCUAAGGCAAUCCAGUCCGUAUCACACACCCAAUGGCAUGGUACAUGCCAAAAAAGGGCUGAGGUAUUCAGGCUCAAGGGUGAGAGCUGAGGACAGGAGCACAAGAAAAUAACAUGUUACCCAGCUUGACAAGAUUUUUCCCUGCCAAGGGAUCUGUGAGUCAUUUGGUGUGGACAUCUUCAUAGCUGCUGGAGAAGACAGUAUUUCUUUCCCAUUUCCCAUAGGUCCAAAAUGGUUGUUCCACCUGAAAGGAAGAAAGAAGUUAGCAAGAAACAGCAAAUCUUGUCUUCAUUUUUUCUGCCUGCCUUCAUUGCUUUAUGUAAUCAUUCACUUCUGCAGAGUUCAUUGCUCCUGGCCCUUGUCUGCCUUCUUUGUGACCCCAUUGAGUGUCUUGCUGCUGUGGUUAGGGGUCAGGCCUUCUCCCAUGAGCUGGACCAGACACCGAUCCUGUCACUCUGAAGGAAGCUGAUCUUGGUUACUGAAUGUUCCUACUUGACAGCAGGUCACUGCUUAGAUAUACUAACAAGGAGAAUUGGACACAGAGUGUCCAAACUUCAUACAGUAUUGUUAGUAGAACUCCUGUUGCCUUCAGGGUCAGAUGCUCAGCCUGUUGGUACAGGUGAUUUGGAAGCCCUGCUUCUUGAACCUCAGUGGGAUUGUAAGCAAACCCAGGUGAACUCAGGCAGUUGCUGUGGCCUCGAUCCACUUUAGGAGACAUGAUGAACUUUAUUCUACCUUCAGAAAAUAAAUACAGAGGUGCUAGCUGAUGGAUUUUAGAGGGGAGGACUGAGUCUAUCUUGAUAGAAGUAGAAAGUGUGCAUGCAAGGAACAUGUUUCUUUUACAGACCAUGCUUAAUCCAUAAAAUGAUUCUCUUCUGUGGAUUAGUCAGCCCCCACUGCAACGUAUUUGUUCCUCUCUUUGAAAAGUUCCCCCAAGUAUGUUCUGUGGAGAUUUUGGAUGUGGGCUGCAACGAGGUUGUUACUCAGUGGCCUGCCUCCUGUCUUGAGGAGAGGGUGCAUGUUUGUAUUGCCAAUGCUGUACUGGUGCGUUACAAAGUCAGGCAGACUUCAAGGGCCAUGUUGCUGCUCUGCAGCAAACCUGGUUAAGAGUUUAUUUUUGGCAGAUUGUUAAUAAAUAAAAGGACGUUGAAAAUACAGGUCACAGAGUACAGCACUGUCCUCUUCUGCUCUUCUCUGCUGGGCUCAGUGGAGUGAUACUAAUUUGGCCUCUUUCCCUUUCUCUGCAGCCUCCCACUUUAAAACUAGUUUUGCACGCAUUCAGGUUUCAGGGAGAUUGUGGGACUCUGCUUUGCUCACCUUGUCAGCUUUAAAACCAGAGUCCCCUUGAAACCCAGAACUGGGACCUCUUUUCUGUUUUCUCCCAAAGCUGGGGGAAUAAAAACAUGUAAGCAUUUUAAUUUUUUGUUCUUCUCUCUAAAAAUCUUCCCUGCCCUGAAAGUCCCAGUGAUGCCAAAACCAACCAAGGAGCUCAGUGCCACAAACCCUGAUACACACAGAGACCUUGAGUACAAUGUCAGCCAAACUAAUGAUUGCAGCUGUGCUUCAGAGGCUUAGCUUGUUAUCAGAGCCCUGCAGGCAAAUAGCACCCCAAACUUGGCUGCUGCUCAGCUCCAGCUCUAAAAUCCUCCUUUUCACCUACCUCCAAGUUAAAUCAAUUACAAGCUCCAUGCUAGUUGAGAGUGCAGAUGGAUGAAACCCACGUGUGGAGUAGAGAAGACAUCUGGAAGCAGAUUAGACCAUAUCUUCUCACAAGGUUUAAUUGCCCUCUAAAAGUGUCUUCCUCUCUUACUGCUUUGCCAUCUCAACUUCCUACAUCAGUUGCACUAUUCUUUCUUCCUCUCCCCUUGGCACACCCUUCCUCUCCCCUUGGCACAUCACGCUGUUGCUACUUCAUUUGCCAUGAUAAAUUCAUCUAGCCAUGCCUCUGGUGGGUUUCCUUGUCAAGUCAUACCAUAUUUCUUCAUAUAGCCUUGAUUAUCCAAAUUACAGUGCUGGGCUUUCUUUUCAGACCUUUGGCCAGUCACUAUGCUUGUGAUGCUCUGACAAAUGGGGAAGAUCACCAUAGGAAGAAAAAUGGAGCUGCCUUGCUCAUCUUUCUUUUCUUCCUCACAUCUGCUCAGCUGUCUCCUGCCAGACUGAUCCAGACAACAUUUAUUCUUGAUCCACCUGUCACCUCUCCCUCUUCAUCCCACCCCAAAGACAGCUGAUGCCCCUCAUGUUCUUCCUGAAGCAGCUCUGAGGCCAAGUUAAUGAAGAGGGGUCAGGGCUCCCAAGACAGUCUGAGACCCAAGUGGCAAUGGAGAAGAGUAGACUGCUUCAGACUGCCUGGUCCACUUAGCAGAGAAGUUUUCAAUGAGGUUUCAAGAGGAGGGACUUUGGGACUAAAAACUCAUUCAUCUGGAUAUCAUAUGUUUUUUUAUCAUGUGAUGCAGCAGCAGAAGGCAGUGGAAGAAGUGAUUUUUGUCAGCCCCUCUCAGCUGUUUUAUCAGACCUGGGUAAGAGGGGGUCAUGGCAAGAGCCCAGGUGGGGGGAAAAAACUUGGGACAAGAGGAUGGAGAGAGGAGGAGAGAAAGUAAUUUUAAUCUGCCACUGCAGUGACAGAUAGCAAAUUCAAGUAGUCAGGCUAACAGUGCAGCCAGUUAUUCUGCCAGUAAAUAUGUGAGAACAACUAAUAUAAUCUUUUGCCCCGGGGUUUAUUUCUCCUUAUUUAUAACACCAUUACUGAGAGAGACACAUUUCAGAAUAACUUGUUUCAUAUCAGAAGCAAGGAGUGGUGGUUUGUCCCACUGAGAAGGAAGGAUCUGAAGUGGGAUAUGAAAAAUUGGGUUUUAGUCUGAGUGGGGGAAAAAUGUGAUUGAAAGAGUCAGAAGUGGGUGUAUUAGCUGAUUCAAGGCAAUAAUGUUGAAAGAGGCAUGGUUUCUCUUUGUGAUUUCCAUAAUGAUGCAAAUGAAUCAAUUCUCAGCCCUGGAAUCUCUUACUUAAAAAUGUUCCAAUUCAUGAACUACAGACAAUAUUUUUGUUUGGUUGUGUUUUUUUGGUUUUGUUUUGCUUUUGUUUUGCUUUUGUUUUUCAUACUUUAAUGAGGUAUCUACCACUGAAUGGUUUGGGGUUUGUUUUGUUUCCUUCUUCCUGUUCACUGCAGAGCAGUCUAGAUGUUCCAUACAUUAAAUUUUCAGUGGAAAAAUUAUUUACUUAAGGCCCUUAAAGAAAUUCCACUGCAAAUUUCAGGGUGGUAACUGAGAGCCUCUGAUUUCUGUUUUGAACAGGGAGGAAUCAAGAAUAUUCCAGAUAUUCCUCAGCCUCCAGGCAGGGUAAAACACCAGAUUAACAAUGUACUGCUGAUGUUAAUGGAGAAGCUGGAGAGUGAAGACAAGCUUUGUGCUCAUUUCUAACACUGUUUGGGCAUUCAUGAAACACUCCGUGCAAAUUUGAAUUCCCCUAGGAUGCCAUAGCUAGUGUUGUUCUUACUAAAGAGUGGGUCUGUUGACCACGUGAGGCCAUGGGGCAACUAGACCACCCAUGACUGUGUCAUUUUCAAUCACUUUGCUAUUCUCCAGAGAGUAAAUUGUAUCAUGUUAGAAUGUAGGAAGUUUGUUCUUAUCCAGAGCAUUUUACAGCUGUCUCUUUAAAAUAAAUGUUACUAGCUCUGAAGUAAUUUGUUCAGAUUUGAUUAGUGUGUACUGUAUAAGAAAAUAAAGAACAAUAUUGAAUUGUGAGAAAAUAACUUCUACCAGAUGUUUCCUCUGCCUCCUAUCUACCCCAAAAUGUCAAAUGUGUGUUUAGUUUGAGACUUUUCUUAGGUAUUAUGGCUGAAACAUGAUUUUUGCAAAUGUUGAGCCUCCGGAGCUCCCAUGGACUUGUGAUGGACUUGAAGACCCAGCACAGUGUGUUGGGAAAUGAGUUACUCUUUUAACAGCACUUUCCAAAGUUGUGACAUCUGCUUUUAACGCUUGUAAUUUUAAGCAGUAUUCAUGAAAGAGUGCAAGAGACCACCCAGAGCAGCCACCAGUCAAGUGGCUGGGAAACUCUUCUGGUGUGACUGUUUCUGGUUGUGAGAAGAAAUUCAGCCUGAAGCUGGAAGAAUUUCUUCAAAUCCUAUUGUGACAAAUAUUACUGCAUACCAAACAUUAACACAAGAAGUGGCAUCUCAAGUUGCAGUGACAGCAAUGAGAUCAAUGCGUCGCUUUUUCUGCAGGGAUCACAGAAGUCUUACCACCAGUAGUGGAAGCACUGUGACUCUGCUGUGAGAGACGGCAUGUAAAGGUUCUUUCAGCCAUAUAAAAAGUUAAUAAACUUGCUGCUACAUGUUAGUGACCUAUUUUUGGAGACAGUUGAUUCUGGAAAUCGGAGCACGUGUGAGAUGACCAAGUUUGUACAAUGAGUCAGCAGUGAAGAGUGAUGACAUUAAGGCCGAUGGUCUGAGAUGUUACAGUCAGAUUCAGCUUCCUCUUUACACACAUGCUGCUUCUUGGUGGAAGAAUGGGAAGAGAAAUUAACGUUAAUGUUGUGCUCAAGUGCAGCUUUACAAACUGUAGUUCCCUAUAGCAGGAGAAACCGAAUGGCACGAACAGCUCCCCAGGAUGGAGAUGAACUGGGCCAAUCCCUGCUCUGCUCUUUCUUUACUCUGACUUCCCUCACUGUAAAUCACUCCUGCAUGCAUUUUACACCUACCCUACACAUAUGGAAAUAAUUAAACUGCUUUGGAGAGGAAGUGUUUCCGUGAUAAACCAGUUCUCUCUCGCUACUUAAAUACUGUGGAAAACUGACAACAAAUUGAUUCUGAGAGGAUUAGGGGUGCCCAGCAAAGGGAUUUUAUGGACUCUUGAAAGAUAUGUGCUGCCUCUACAUUGCUCCCCCCAGCGCUCCUGCCUCUUGUGCUGCAGCAGCUCAGUUGGAUUGCCGUCUGCCUGCCUUCUUGGGUGAAGCAACAGGAGAGCAUCUUUGCAAGACAGAAUAAUCACUGUACCAGUAUGCAGGAUUGCUGGUCGCACUCCUGCAGGAAAAAGGCACUGGAAGAAGUGAUGUCUCUCCUGAAGACACCUGAAUAUGAAAGGAAAAUAAGAUAAAUGAUGGAAAGGUGUGUUUAUUAUUGCUGAAUGUGAGCACGAAGAAGGAGACUGAAGUACUGGUAUGAAAAUACCUAGUGUAAAAGCAGAGAUCAUGCUAUGGAGGAAAAGGAACAGGCCAGAUCCUCACUAGAAAAUAAAUGUGUGCAGAGCCUCUGACUGCAAAUGCAGCCAUUCCCUCCAAGGCUGAACCCUUCUGAGGUGAACAUUCAGGCCGGGGAAGCUCAGGCAGGUGCAUCCCAUGACUGUGAAUGCAUCGGGGAGGUGCUGCUGGAGCGGCAGGGCUUUUGCUCCAGUCAGUGCUCUGAGCACAUAGCAGAUGAUCUUGAAAGAGCCUCCCUGAUGCAAGCACUGCACUCUUCUUGCAUGUCUGGUCAUGAGGUAUGAGGAAACACAGGGAAAAUUCUUAUGUUUUGUAGGCAGCUUUACUUGUAUCAUCCAAAUAAUCAUGAACUGUGGUGGUGCUUAUAGAUAAAACUCUCUCCCAGGAGUGACUGGGAGCUCUUGCCACACUCCUUGUGUCCACAACAGCUGAAAACUUAAAUGGGACAGAUAUACCCUGUGGACAUCACAGUGGGUCUCUGCACAGCAGGGAGUUCUGCCCUCUAAGCCUGAAAUGUCCCCCCAUUGACCAGCUGUAUGCAGAAGGUCGUGGGAGGUCUGGAGGAGUGAAACCGCUGUUCCUUUUGAGCUGUAAGCACUUAAGAAAACUUUAUAAUUAGCAAAAGAACAAAACCUCAAAUAUGUACCCUGUUAGUUUGUGUGUGUCCAUGCAUUUUUGCAUCUGCAUACAAAAAGACAUUUUAAAAGGCUGUCGGUCCAGUUGUCUGUCGGUCCAGUUGUCUCCCAUUGUCAUUUCUUGUUCAUUCAGGAGAGCACUGCUGUUUCUGGUGCAUCAGUAACUGAUAAUGCAGGCCACAUCUAAGGGCUCACAGAAGUGUUGCUAGAAAGUCAGAGUUAUAGCCAACUUUUUGACAUGGUGAUCUCCCAGCAUGAUGCUUGUGCAUCAUCCAUGGAAGUGAUGUGGCUGGGGAGGGGGAAAUACCAUCCUGGGGUCACCAACACCCAGCAAACAUCAAUGCCCUGAGGAUAACAGAUGAGUUUAGUAGUGUCAGAGCUACUUGCUUCUCUGAGACAACAAAA